rnacentral:tRNA from 3 species
GCGCGGGUGGCUUAGUCGGUUAGAGCACCCGGCUGAUAACCGGGAGGUCGCAGGUUCAAGUCCUGCCUCGCGCA